rnacentral:rRNA from 1 species
GAAUUGACGGGGCCGCACAAGCGGUGGAGCAUGUGGUUAAUUCGACGCAACGCGAAGAACCUUACCAGGGCUUGACAUCCCCUGACCGCGUAUGAAAGUACGUUUUCACCCUCGGGUGACAGGGAGACAGGUGGUGCAUGGUUGUCGUCAGCUCGUGUCGUGAGAUGUUGGGUUAAGUCCCGCAACGAGCGCAACCCCUACGUUUAGUUGCUAACGCGUGAAGGCGAGCACUCUAGACGAACUGCCGUUGACAAAACGGAGGAAGGUGGGAUGACGUCAAAUCAUCAUGCCCUUAUGUUCUGGGCUACACACGUGCUACAAUGGCCGGUACAGACGGACGCAAAGCCGCGAGGUGGAGCAAAUCCUAAAAAGCCGGUCUCAGUUCGGAUUGCAGGCUGCAAUUCGCCUGCAUGAAGUCGGAAUCGCUAGUAAUCGCAGGUCAGCAUACUGCGGUGAAUACGUUCCCGGGCCUU